CCCAAUUGAAACUUCAAUUUACUGUAGUCAUCAUCAGAUGUGAAAAGAGGUUUUCUGUUCCGCCUUAACUAAAAUCGACUUUGACAGAAAUUCUCAGUUUGGUAUACUUUAUCAGUUUUAACUCUUUUGCCUAAAAAUAUAUGUUGUCCAUUCAAAAAUAAUUUACCAGAAUAUACAUCCAGCUGGUCAAAAUAGCGAAAGAGCACCGUAAAGACAGUGGGUACUCACUAGUUCUCUUUUACAAUUUAGCGACGUAAAGUAGCAAAGCAGAAUGUAAGUGAAUCGGAAGCUCGGGGUCAUUGUGGAAAUGUUGUGAACAACUCUCACGUUGUGUCGGAACUUUCUGAUUCUAUACCAGGUGGAGGUGUAGAUGCAGUUCUAGAACAAUGCAUUUUUGACGUAAUGGUAGGUGAUGAUUUAUCUCUUGCUGAUGUACAUGUUGAUGCGUUGAACACAGUUGCUCAAGCAACACUCAUACGUGACCCGGUGUAUACUGCUAACAAUACAGACAAAGUUGAAAUUUUCAUUAAAAACUCGUGCCCUGUAAACUGCAGUCAAAAUGGAAAAUGUUCAGAUCAAGGUGAUUGCGAAUGUGAUGACCACUACAAUGGUGCCGAUUGUAGUAUAGAUGAACGUGAUCCAGUUACUAUUGACGACCUGGAGGGAUGAGGAUUGUGUAAUCUUACCGACGGUGAUGGUUGUGACUGUUUCGUUUUGAGGACAGCCUAUCUCUUGCCAAACUUUACAUGUGCGAUUUCCGGUGUAAUAACAUACAUAGAUGGCACAGAGGAAAAUAUAACUGAAACUGCAAACGCUGGGGAAUAUGAAAACAUAUUUACUGGCCAAUGUUGCGCACCUGUGGAAAGAAAUAAACGUUCAACAUCACAAAAUAUUGUAUUUUCUACUAGAUAGGACAUUACAAUCAGUAAUGACGGAAACCAUUUUGGUUCAGCCGAACCUCUUCACGUUUUUGAUUUCGAGUGUUAAGAUGCUUUGCCUGAUAGUGACAAUGGCCAUCGUAUUGUUCUCAAGGUAACACACCUGUAAACUGUACAGGUCUGUCUAAUAUUAUUACUACUUAGCAAAUACCUCAUACUUUUGUGACACUUCUUUUACGGUUGUUAUUAUCACAUUAAAGGCACAAACUGUUGUUUCAAAAGAAAUUAGCUAUUGUUUAUAAGAUGAGUUGCAGUAUUAAAAUGACCCGAGUUGAUUUUAUUCAUCGACCUUGGAAUUUGUUGCCAUUUCAAGAAAUCUAUAGCAAUGUCUAUUACAAAACAUGCUUGUAAAGAUAAUAUUUGUCCUUAAUUAUGAUUGUAGUUCAGCCGAUAUAUGG